rnacentral:rRNA from 1 species
ACUCCUACGGGAGGCAGCAGUGGGGAAUAUUGCGCAAUGGGGGCAACCCUGACGCAGCCAUGCCGCGUGAGUGAAGAAGGCCUUAGGGUUGUAAAACUCUUUCAGUGGUGAAGAUAAUGACGGUAGCCACAGAAGAAGCCCCGGCCAACUCCGUGCCAGCAGCCGCGGUAAUACGGAGGGGGCUAGCGUUGUUCGGAAUUACUGGGCGUAAAGCGCGCGUAGGCGGACUGGUCAGUUGGGGGUGAAAUCCCGGGGCUUAACCUCGGAACUGCCUUCAAUACUGCCAGUCUUGAGUUCGAGAGAGGUAAGCGGAAUUCCUAGUGUAGAGGUGAAAUUCGUAGAUAUUAGGAAGAACACCGGUGGCGAAGGCGGCUUACUGGCUCGAUACUGACGCUGAGGCGCGAAAGCGUGGGGAGCAAACAGGAUUAGAUACCCUGGUAGGCGUAG